CCCCUAGAUGUUCUGGGCCGCACGCGCGCUACACUGAACAGUUCAACAAGUCUUAACCUUGGCCGAUAGGUCUGGGUAAUCUUUGAACGCUGUUCGUGAUUGGGAUAGACCUUUGCAAUUAUGGGUCUUCAACGAGGAAUUCCUAGUAAACGCAAGUCAUCAGCUUGCAUUGAUUACGUCCCUGCCCUUUGUACACACCGCCCGUCGCACCUACCUAUUGAAUGGUCCGGUGAAAUCUCGGGACGGCGGCUUGGUCGCUUGCGUCCGACUGCUGAAACUUGAUUAAACCAUAUCAUUUAGAGGAAGGUGAANUCGUANCA
rnacentral:rRNA from 1 species